GUUUUUAUCAACAUCAGAACAAUAUAAAUUAUUUUUUUCAGUUGUACAAAGUAUUUGCACACAUAUAUUAAAUAUCAAUCAAGAAGAACGCACAUAAACAUUCGCUCCAAAAUAUACACAUAAAAGCCACUUAAUGAUCACAGUAUAUGUCCCCAACAACAGGGUCCACUAGCAAAAAUACAGGCGUAAUUACAGGGAAAAGCUGGACUGUGUGUAUUGAGUGCUAAACAUGAGGCAGGAGGACUGAGCUUGCUUUUAGCUGAGGUAGUAACGGGUUUUUACGGGCUACAAACUGUUCUCUGUUUUGUUCGUGGUUUAAUCCUUCCCUCGACGUUUCAACGGUGAGGUCAAGCGCAACAACUCUGCGCCAUUUUGUGGGUUUCAGACGGUCCAGGUUCAGGUGUGUUCGCUUAGCUGCCGUUCGUACGGAGAACCAAGGAACGGAGUGGACGACAGCUAAAACCUAUGGAGAUUAAAAUCUCUUUUUGAGGGAGAAUUUGCCAAGACGACCACGUGAAACCAAAUGGUAUCACAGAGGAAGAUCCCUGAUGACUAACUGCUGUGUGCCAAGAGGCCAUUGAUGGGAUGUGGGCAGCACAACAGAGACAUCUGCAGUGCAUCCAGGAUCCACCAGACAUUAACAUGUACAAGGUGGCACAAACCAACCAUCAACAACAUGGAUGUGUCCUCCUCCAAGUGCCUGCAUGUGUAACAGAGAGAGCUGGGCCAGACCAGCCACACAUGGAAACAUCAGCCUGGAAGGAUUCCACAAGACUUUGUCAAGCAGGAUUCCAGGUGCACAAGUGUAGUCUCUAUUUUUAACACUUUAGGUGAUGUGUUAAAAUCUUUACAUCCCAACCUGUCAUUUUUCUAAUACUGUUUAUUGUAAUGAUCAGGUCCUCACUGUGCAGCACAGCCCUAUCAGGUUUACCUGAUCAGUGGCAUCGUCCAGUGGAACGCUGACAGGAGCUCUGAUGUGGUGUUUAGGGGCAGAGGAUGGUGUUACUGGAACUACUCUGCACCGCUGAUCAACCACCUCAACACCUCCUGUCAGCAGCUGUCUGGGGAGACUGGAGGAGAAUUUCAGGAUCCCUGCUGUUGUCUCCUCCAACGAGCUGCUUGAGUAUGGGGGAAUCCAGACCCUUCUCUCUUCAGGACAUCAUCAACGAUGGACCUGGUCCCGAGCAGGAGGAGGUUCAGUCUGGGCAGCCUGAUCCAGACGAGGCUGAUGACGGGGAGGAACAUGAGCUGGAUGCUGACCUGCCCCACAUCACGCUUAACUAGUGAGGAAACUAUCACCAGGCCUGCAUCAUCCCUCGCUGUAUCCACAGCAGCCCAAAAGAUUGCUGGCGUCUCUGGGAUUACUGGCCCCUCCAGACAGCCCAUCCUGCUUGCUUCAUCAGACCCUGCAACUGCAGCUCACACUGCUGGCACACCUGUGACUACUUCUUCGUGCUGGACAAGAGCAACGCUGUACAAGCAGAAGCUGAAGGGCUACCAGGGUGCAAAAUCUGCCAGCAUGUACAGUCUGUGGCCAGCCAACACAGGGACAUAGAAAGUAGAAAAAAGGCUUUCUGCCCAGUAACAAUGAUGUCCCCGUUUAAAGGUCUGAGCAACAGAGUGUUUACCAGCUACGAGCACUUCACCUCUGCUGUUGACAGUUUGAAUUGUAAAUAUGCUGUAAAUACGCAAGGUUGCUUUGUACAUUUUGUAUGUUUGGGGCACUGAAUUGUAAAUAUCUGUAAAUAUGUUAGAGUUGCUUUUUAUAUGCUGUGAUUGAUUUAGAAAUACAUUAGGUUUGCUUUGUAUAUACUGUAAAUAAUUUUCAUUAGUCUGAGUUUUUAUUUAGUUUUUUACACUUAAAUUGUCUAAAAUCCUGUGUACUGUAUUAUUUUUAUUCAAUAAAGUGAUCUGGAGGAUGGAACUGUGAUCUGUAAAUAGUUGCAUCUUACUGACAAAUUGUAAAUAUUUUUUAUUUUCAUGUCCUUUAAUUCUGAAUCAUGUUCAAUGAUACUUUGUCGACACUAGUGCUGUGGUUUUUCCAUGUUCCUUAGUUCAUGCACUUGAUGUAUUAAAGGGGUCAGUGCUACAGUAACAGUGAGUUGUGGAAUAUCAAUUUAUGAAUGCAAAAAUGGGUAAAUUAAAAUGGAGAACACAG
ensembl:lncRNA